CUACGGGGGGCUCCAGUGAGGAAUAUUGCACAAUGGGGGAAACCCUGAUGCAGCAACGCCGCGUGGAGGAUGACGCAUUUCGGUGUGUAAACUCCUUUUAUGAGUCAAGAAAAUGACGGUAGCUCAUGAAUAAGCACCGGCUAACUCCGUGCCAGCAGCCGCGGUAAUACGGAGGGUGCAAGCGUUACUCGGAAUCACUGGGCGUAAAGGACGCGUAGGCGGGCUUGUAAGUCAGGUGUGAAAUCCUACAGCUUAACUGUAGAACUGCACUUGAAACUACGAGCCUAGAGUAUGGGAGGGGGAGAUGGAAUUAGUGGUGUAGGGGUAAAAUCCGUAGAUAUCACUAGGAAUACCGAAAGCGAAGGCGAUCUCCUGGAACAUUACUGACGCUAAGGCGUGAAAGCGUGGGGAGCAAACAGGAUUAGAUACCCCAGUAGUC
rnacentral:rRNA from 1 species